rnacentral:lncRNA from 1 species
UCAACAUGGAAGUAAUUAAUAAUUAACAAAAUGCAGCUUAUACUUCGACAAGUUGUGAAUAUGAUCUGAUUAUUGAAUCACUUCAUGUAGGAAAAAUGCCAAAGGAAAUUGUUACAUGGUUUAACUACAAGAAGACUCAGGUUUAUGAUAUAGCCAAGAGAUUCAGAGAGUGUAGCAUGGAGGAACUUAUUUCUCACCAAGCCAAACACAGAAAGCAAUCUUAUUGCAAGAGGAGUGACAAAUUUGUCUCUGAAUUGAAGGAGAAGAUCAACCAGAAUCCAAGACAGAGCAUGACUGCCCUGG